CGCCGGCCAUGAGAAGAUUCGAGAAAUUUACAGGUCAAGCAUCGAUUAGCACUAGAGAAUUGGUUUACGCAGUUCACUGCCUUGCUUUGUCGAGAUGCUUCGAGGUUUGACGCUCGCGCCGUUGCCUUUCCGGCCGAUUUUUAGCUGGGCCUUAUCUGUUCUCCUCUUGAUGAACCAUUGCAAAUGUAUUGGGCUUGGCCCGUUACCGUCGGCCCAAAAAAUCUGUUCUGGGCACACACCGACUCGUUGCUGAAGGCCCGAAGCCCGGGCUUCCCCUCUUCCUCCUGCUUCUUGCGCAACAACCUCCUCUGCCCGUCGGCUUCCAGAACAUAAAAGGGGGGACCCCGCGCCGCAUCGCACCACCGCAACGUCUUCCAAUCCCGGCGUUCCCGCCGUCUUCCCUUCCGCAACCCACCACCGAGCCUGCCCCCACAAGCCCCAACUUACCAAUUCCUCGCCCCCCAUGGCUGCGCCUCGGCCAUGGGCGAACCUCCACGCCGACAUGCUGCUCGAGAUUUUCCUCCGCGUCCCCUGCGCAAUCGACCGCGUCAACAUGGCCACCGCCUGCCACUCGUGGCUCGCGGUGCUCGCGGCGGAAGCCAUGGAGGCGCCACCCCGGAUCCCGUCGCUCUUCCUCCCGCCCGCCGACGCGACGGGCGUCUACUGCUACCUCAGCGGCUGCCGCGACCACAGCAAGUUCCCCGGCCCCCGCCACUUCGGCUCGUACGACGGCUCCUGGUUCUUCCUCGCCUACGGCCAGACCUGCGGGCACCGGCUACUCAACAUCCGCACCGGAGAGUCCCACGCCGUCCCCAACGUGCUCGGGGAUGGCUUCGCCGACCAAUUCCACAACAUGGUCAUCCUCGCCGCCACCCUCUCGCGCCCACCGGAUGACCUGGAGUGCGUUGCCGCCGGCAUCGUCGCCUAUCAGCCGGACGCCGACGCGCCGCGCCGGCGCCACUUCGCGUUCUGGCAGCUCGGCAAUGAGGCGGCCUUCUGCUAUGUUGAGCCUCACCCUAACGCUCCAGUUGGGCCGGGGUUGGAACCGGAGGACGUCGUGUACCACCGCGACUCCUUCCAUUUCCUCACCCAAGGCGAACACAUUCUCGAGUGCGCGCCGGUCUUGGAUGAAGAUGGGACUAUCCUGGAAGUAGCAGUGGAGGCAAUCCGCUUCCAGAACGGGGGGCGCUGCUACGCCGACUUCGUCCGCGCUCGCUACCUCGUGGCGUCCCGCGAGGAACUGCUGAUGGUCGUCAGGUUCGCUCCCAAUCCUCACGCGCCGACAUCGUCGUUCAAGGUGUUCCGGAUCCUCCAACAGCCGAUGCCAGACCACGGCAUGGAGGAGGCUGAUGGGCACCAUUGGUACUGGAGCGAGCUGGACACGCUGGGUGGCCGGAUGCUGUUCGUGGGGCGAGGAUGCUCCAGAUCCUACGAAGUCGAUCGGUACCUGGGGUUCAAGGCCGGCGUCUACUUCUUGGAUGAUGGGUGCUUCUACGACGACGAGAUGAUGUUCCGCGGUGUCAAUGAGAGGCGGUACCCUUGUAGCGACAUCGGCAAGUGGUCGGAAGGGCCGCCUCCCCAUGUCGAACGCUUCUUCCCAGAGCAGGGCCCUUCGUACAACUCUCCUCCGGCUUGGCUUCUCCCUUGAGACGGCAGGUUUUUUGCCACGAAUCUCCACCGCCAUUUGAGUUUGUGAUGUUUGAGUGCCAUAGAUGAUGUGGGGGUUCGUCUUGAGGUGAGAAUAUCUCUGUUCUGAACUCUGAUGCUCUAAGCAGCAAUGCAGAACCUGGGUUGGCUGAAUGAUAAUUCAUUUGCUUGUCUUACCAACGGUUAGUUUUACAUGAUAUUCUCUCUAGUCUUACUGAAUAGUCAAUGUGCAGUUCUGAAAAGAGUAUUUCGGUGUGGUCUCAGUAUUGCACAAUGCAGGCUGUUCAUCAUUUUGUAUGAAGAUUGUUUCUGUUCCAUGUGCUGUUCUGCUCUUUCUAUGGAUACAACCUGGUCGAAGCUAGUACUGAAUCCUGUCCUUGUGCCUUAAUCUAGCACUAGGUUCGCAAUGUGGAAGUUAUAAGAUUUUGAAUUGUUUAAGAGUUUUUGUUAGAAAUAGGAUUGUCAAAGAACUGUUAUUGCCCAUGAAAUCAUCAUACGAGCUUGCUAUCAUUAUGUCCUUUUGGUAGUGUAGUACUCAAUUGUUACUUCAUAAACUCGAAGCGGCUAUAUCGGAGUUUUGUGUCAUGCAUUACAUUUUUCUGUUCAAUUAGAAUUGAUAAUUCACUGCGAAAAUGUACAUGUUGAUGCUUACAUUUUCCUGGUAGAUGGGGGCAUUCUUCCAACGCGUGAAAUGGAGUUGCACCAGUAUCUGUGUGGACAGUGUCUCCAAUGGAUAGUUUGUGUUACAAUGUACAGAGUGCUUGUUGGUUCUUAGCUUUUCUUGAUUGAUACAUUCAUUGCCAGACAUAGAUUUGGAUUGAAGCUGGAUGUUAUAGUUUUAAAGUAUU